rnacentral:rRNA from 1 species
AUUGAACGCUGGCGGCAGGCCUAACACAUGCAAGUCGAACGAGUGGCGGACGGGGGAGUAAUGUCUGGGAAACUGCCUGAUGGAGGGGGAUAACUACUGGAAACGGUAGCUAAUACCGCAUACCAUCGGAUGUGCCCAGAUGGGAUUAGCUAGUAGGUGGGGUAACGGCUCCACUAGGCGACGAUCCCUAGCUGGUCUGAGAGGGUGACCAGGCACACUGGAAAUGAGACACGGUCCAGACUCCUCCGGGAGGCAGCAGUGGGGAAUAUGUCACAAUGGGCGCAAGCCUGAUGCAGCCAUGCCGCGUGUAUGAAGAAGGCCUUCGGGUUGUAAAGUACUUUCAGCGGGGAGGCGUUACCCGCAGAAGAAGCACCGGCUAACUACGUGCCAGCAGCCGCGGUAAUUC